rnacentral:rRNA from 1 species
GUGGACACUUUCACCCCCUUCCGCCGCCGCCCCUUCCACUAUAGGGCGCCACCGCCCCUUCCGCCGCCGCCCUUGCACGGCACGGCGACGCCGCCCCCCGCCGCCAGGAGCCCAGGACGGACGCUCCGAUGCCUCCUCGUGCGGCCGCGCCACCGCUGUGCUGCGUGCUGGUCAAGCGACCCCAGCCGUCCAGGGGACGCCAUCGCCGCCGCCUGGUCUCCAGCGUCCAGCCAUCCAGCCGCUGCAGGUCCAGCUACUCCAGCCCUCCCUCCGCUACACACUGCGGACCAGGAGUUCCAGCUAGCGGACCAGGACGACGGAUGGUCGCCUUCCUCCGCUCCUGACCAGGACGACCGAUGGUCGCCUUCCUCCGCUCCCGACCAGGACGCCAGGACCACCGACGCUGGUACGUGAACAGGGGCGGCGUUGACAACACUGGCCUCCUCCAGCAGCAAAUCUUCGCCCCGCUCCUGCUCCAAGCUCCUUUAGCGACCUCACCACCUCGCCUGCUGCCUGCUUCGUGCUCAGCUCGCCUACGAGAUGUUCGAUCAAUUGACCAAACCGAGCCAAGCCAAGUCUGCCUCUCUUGCCUGGGCAUGGACGACGACCAGGUACUUCCCAUCAUCAAGUAGUCGAGUACCAGAAGCGACGCUGACAGAGAGGAAGAGGCUACAUAAGGAUUCUUGUGUCCCAAAAGGAAAUUUUUGCAAGUGAAGGUGAAGGAUUGUUCUAAACUGGCAGAUGAAGCUAUGCGUUCUUUUAGUGGACUUUUAUAUGUUUGCAUAGUUUUUGCUCUUCAAACAUGAAGCUUAGAAAAUUUCAGAAAAUUGUUACUAAGUUAAGCUUCAUGUAUGACAGAUUGUCAUUGGAGAUAGAUACACUUUAUGUUAGAUUUACCGUCUUGUAAACUAAACUUAUGUUGUUCGAAAUUGAUGUUUUGAUUAAUUUGGGA